rnacentral:lncRNA from 1 species
ACAAAACGGCGCCGUUUUGCUUUAAUAUUAAAAUAAAAAAAGGGUUCUGUUUCAUUUCCUUUUUUCUUUUUUUUUUUAAAUAAACAGAGGGGAAAAGGGGGAAAAAUUAUCUGACCUUAGCACCUCCACGCCGCCGCCGUCAGCCCACCGUGAAGCCACCACGACCGGCGCUCUGCACCAGUUAAAGCGCUUUUUCCUUUUUUUUUUUCUUUAAAAAAAGUAUGAACAAAUAUCAGAGGGAAAAAAAAACUCGGAAAAAAAAAGAAAAAAAACAAAUCAACCUCAAAAUUGCUGUCUUUCUCUGUUUUUUAAUAGUUUUUUACAUAAUCCCCACAAUCCAUUUCCAAUCGGC